rnacentral:rRNA from 1 species
AAAUAGGAUUCUCUUAGUAAUGGCGAAUGAACUGGGAUGAGCUCACCAUGGGAAUCGGGGUCUUCGACCUUGAAUUGUAGUCUUGAGACGCACCGCCAACAGAGGCGCAGGUGUAAGCCUCUUGGAAGAGAGCAUCGCGGAGGGUGAGAGUCCCGUCUGUCACCUGCAGUCCCCUGUGUACGGCAUGCGUUCUGAGAGUCACGUUCCUCGGGAUUGGAGCGCAAAUUGGGUGGUAAGUUUCACCUUAAGCUAAAUAUUGGUCCGAGACCGAUAGCAAACAAGUACCAUGAGGGAAAGGUGAAAAGGACUUUGAAAAGAGAGUUAAAAGUGCUUGAAAUUGCUGAAAGGGAAGCGAAUGGAACCAGUUCUGCUGGGCGAGAUUGUCGCAUGCCAAGGCCCUGUGCCGGCCGCAUGCGGUGCUUCUUGCCUUGUGUGUCAGCUGCGGUCCGAAGUUGGGGAAAACUCUGGGGACAUGGAUGCCAACCUCCGGGGGGGUGAAUGUGCCUGGCAAGACCCGUCCUUGGACUGUGAGCAGUGCUUCGGCAUGUUUGCGGUGCUGACGAAAUGCUUCUAUUCGACCCGUCUUGAAACACGGACCGAGGAGUCUAACAUGUGUGCGAGCUCACGGGUGUCAAACCUGCUUGCGCAAUGAAAGUGACUGCUGGGAUACUUGCACCAGCAACCGAUCUGUCAACUGAGAGAGAUUUGAGUUUGAGCAUACCUGUUAGGACCCGAAAGAUGGUGAACUAUGCUUGUGUAGGGCAAAGCCAGGGGAAACUCUGGUGGAGGCUCGUAGCGAUACUGACGUGCAAAUCGUUCGUCAAACAUGAGUAUA